rnacentral:rRNA from 1 species
UACGUAGGGUGCGAGCGUUAAUCGGAAUUACUGGGCGUAAAGCGUGCGCAGGCGGCUUUGCAAGUCAGAUGUGAAAUCCCCGGGCUCAACCUGGGAACUGCAUUUGUGACUGCAAGGCUAGAGUACGGCAGAGGGGGAUGGAAUUCCGCGUGUAGCAGUGAAAUGCGUAGAUAUGCGGAGGAACACCGAUGGCGAAGGCAAUCCCCUGGGCCUGUACUGACGCUCAUGCACGAAAGCGUGGGGAGCAAACAGG